CCUAAGAAAUUAUACGUCUAAAAUCAAUUUCUUGCUUGCCAAAUUGCGAAAAUUAAUUAUUUUUUUGUUUUAAGACAAAGAUAAGUCUGCAAUGAUUUUUUCAUACCAUACAACAUGAUUUUAUAAAAAGUUCAAACACUUUACGAGACUACAGUAAAACAAAACGUUGGAAAAACAAUACAUUUUCACGAUUUAGCAAGCUUGAAGGCAAUUUUAGGCUAAUGAUAUAUUCGGAAAAUUUGCUUAAAAUUUAAUGACGAUUAUUCCAUUGUCAUGCCCGCAUAGUAAAAAAGAAAUAAAAUCGACCCACCUUAUCGAACGUAUAUAAAUAAUACUUACAAUGCCUUUGAAAACGCAGCGAGUGAAUAAACCAAGCCAACCAAGAGAAAAUCAACAACGCAACACACAUACCAAUGUUUGAAAAUAAAAGAAACACAGUAUUAUUUAAUGGUUCUUUUAAAAAGAAUUAAUUUGAUUAGGUUUGUUUUUUUUAAUUAUAUUCAUAGGCAUAUGUCAAUUGCUUUCAAUAGCAUAUUUUGCGUUUACAAUAAAAGAUUCGCAAUUGUUGCAAUUUAUGAUUUUUCACUAUACUCGUAAGUUAUUGAUAACAAUUAUUGUUUAAAUAUAUCAUAUACAGAUAUACAAACGUAUAUAAGUAUGUAUGUAUGUAUGUAGUAUAUAUUUAUAAUGAAUAAUAGUAAUAAUAAUAAUAAUAAUAAUAAUGAAUAUUAGGUGUAUAGAUUUUGAAUGUGAGCACAUACAUAUGUAUAAAUUUAAUAUUUGCAACUAAUAAGUAUGUAUAUGUAGAUACAAACAUCGGUAUGUAUACAUUUAUAUAUAUAUGUAUGUAAGUGUAAUUGUUUAUGUAUGCCCGUAUAUUUCCUAUUUUGUAUGUAAAUACACUAGGGCUGUUAAAGAUCUUGGGCAUAUGCUCUUGCAUUUGCAUAUUCGUUGCAUUUGUAAAUUCGCAAUAAAAUGCACGCGGUUGCCAUGGCAGCAAGCGCAAAAUUUGCAAAUGCAAUUCCAAGACCAUUUCUACAACAUCCUGAACAGCCCUACUGUUUAUUCUUGUAAUACAAGAAAAAAGUACAAUUAACCGUAAAUUGUAGACGAUACAUAAUAUGUACAUACGUACGUAUGUUUGGAUUUGUGUGGUUUUACUUGUGUUUGUGUAUUAUGUACCAAAUAAUGCCAGCAUGAAAAUAUUGUUUAGAAAUAUCUACAAACGUCCUUGAAAUAUUUCAAGGGAGCAUAACAACUUGUUCACUUACAUAUACAUACAUAUGUAGGUAAAUAGUGCAACAUAGAGCGCAGCAUUUAUGCUCAUUUCUAUCAUAAGUAUAUUUAUUUAUUUAUGUGUACAUGCAUACAUAUAGCGAAAAAUUAUCAUAAAUUAUUAAUUUUGUUAAAUUGUUAUAAAAUUCUCCAGUACAUACAUAUGUACAUGCAAACGAGUGCCUACAUAUAUGUAUGUACAUAUGUAUCUGCGCAUGGCAAUUAAAAAAAUGUUUUUCGCUUAAUUUCCUCGUCUUAGGAAUAAUAAAAGGGCUGUGUAUGCAUGUGUACGUGAAGAGAUUUUCUUGCUUUUCAAUUUGCUUGUGUGCAAUAUUCAUUGUUUGCAUAAAUAUACAAUUUGUGUUUUUAUUUAUGCAUACUUUAACUUUACCUUGCAUGACAUUAAUUCUUUUAACCAAUGCAAAUAAAAAAUAAAAAAUAAAAUUACAUUUUCAACUAAAACUAUCACAACGAUUUAAUGGGCGCAAGUUUUAUUUAAAAAAAAUAUUAGCAGCAAUAUUAAUGAUAAAUGGAAAACAUGCAACCGCCUUAAAUUAAAAUUAUUUGGCAAGGAACUUGGAAUGCAUGUAUGUAGAUUAGGGUGUAUCACUCUCAAUACAAAAAAAAAGGAGCGGUACUGUUUUUACAUCGGAGUUAUAAAUUUUAUUAUAAUUUAAGACUUCCGCCAAAAUGUUUCGGAAAAAUAUUAGGAUUUACGUGAGCUGGACCGAUGUGAAAAUAUUUUUCCCAAAAAAUUUUAACUUAAAAGACUGCAAAAAAUGUUUAAAAACUUUGUCAAUGGAAUCAAUAUAAUGAGACUAUUGGAAGAAUUUUCAAAUCGAAAAUUAGUUUUUCAAAUGUUUUUCCCAAAAAUCUCUCAUAGUAGAAGUUUUAGCUGUUUGGCUUUACCAAUCGGUCUAGCUCAAAUAUUCAGGCGAAUGCCUUAAGAUAUAAUAAAUUUUAGAAUGUUGUGGAAAAACCACAACCCUUUUUUGAUGAGUCACCCUAAUUCGAUUCAUGUCUUGAAUAUUUUUAAAACAUUUGAAGUAAUUUUAAUUCUUAGUUUAAUAAAAAAGGUUGACACGAAAAUCUGAUUUUUGGCGAAUUAUUUAAAGAAAUUAGAAUU